UACGGAGGGAGCUAGCGUUGUUCGGAAUUACUGGGCGUAAAGCGCGCGUAGGCGGCUUUGUAAGUUAGAGGUGAAAGCCCGGGGCUCAACUCCGGAACUGCCUUUAAGACUGCAUCGCUUGAAUCCGGGAGAGGUGAGUGGAAUUCCGAGUGUAGAGGUAGAAAUUCGUAGAUAUUCGGAAGAACACCAGUGGCGAAGGCGGCUCACUGGACCGGUAUUGACGCUGAGGUGCGAAAGCGUGGGGAGCAAACAGG
rnacentral:rRNA from 1 species